ACUUCACCCAUGGUGCUAAAAAUCAGAAGUAUGAAGUUAGACCACAUUACCUCUUUUAGUUACGCCCAUCCUUAUCCUCUGUGCAUGGGUUCUUAGGCUUGGAGCCAACUAAAACUGCAGCAGGUAUUUCCAAUUUAAAGAAUUAACAAACAAAAUGUUCCUGUGAGGCUAAGAGUUUAGUGUGGUUCUAGGAACUAAGAAAGGCCAAAGUUACUUGGGAUUUGUGGAGAAAGGGCCCAAAGUCAUGUGUUGUGGCUGACAAAUUAGGCAGGGGCCACAUAACGAAGCUCUUGAAAGACAUUGAGAGAUGAGAUUUUUAUUCCAGCUGUAUGGCUAGAAACCCCUUUUUUUUUUUUUUUGUACUGGGGUUUGAACCCAGGGCUUCAAAUAUGCUAACCAAAUGCUCUGCCACUGAGCUGCAUUCUCAGCCCUCACCUGAAACUUCUGAGUAAGGGAGACUCGAUCUGAUGUAAAGGACAUACCUGGCCAUGGUGACAAGAACAGAAUGUGAGGGAAAAAUGUAGAAGAAAGAAGACCUAUUGAGAAAGAUGGCAGUGAUCCAGGAAAGAGAUGUCCACAGCCUGGAUCAGGGUGGUAUCAAGAAGGACAGUGAGGAGGCCCCAGAUCGUGCAUAUGUUUUGAAAUAUUUUAAAUAUCUAUGACAGAUUUUAUGAAGGAUCAGAUAGGGAAAGGAGAGAAGGAGAAAGUGAAGAAUGAUUCCAAUCUGUUUGUUUGUUUUAGUGUUACUGAGGAUUGAAUGCAGGCCCUUGUAUAUUCCAGGCAACUUCUCUGUCACAGAGCUAUACCCCCAGCCCAGUCUCCAGAUUGUUACCCUGAGCAAUUUAGUAAACAAUAAUGUCAUUGACAAAGAAGGGAUAUGCUGGAGGAAGAGAAAAUGUGAUGGGAAUCAAGAGUUCAGGUCCCAUCCAUCAAAGUUGAAAUCGGGCUUGAGGCAGAGGAAAUAUCAUGGCAUUGUGGAUGAUUUCACUUGCUGCUCCAUUCAGUGCACUUCCCAAGCCCGGCAGAGAGAUAGAUGUGAAGCUGACAUUCUUCUGGGGCCACACUCACAGAGAAGUACUUCUGCACUUAUGAGCACAUUGGAGAGUUUUUCUAAGAUGACUUAAUGACAUGUAAUAUUUGCUUUGUUUGGUGAUCUUGUCAUCAAGUAUUAGGUUAGAUGUGAUCCACCCUGAAAUGGAAUGGGGUGAAAGCUGCCCAGCCUUAACUCCAACCUUUACACCGGAAGUGCAUGUGGAACAUUCUUGGGAGGAUCUGGGAGAUCACCUUCAUGUCCACCCACCCAGGCCAGCAGUUCGUCAUCGCUGACCUCUGUGUGAAGGAAGUGGAAUAUUCCUCAUCCUUCGCAUAAACUUCCUGCUUGUACAGCAAGUGGAGUACCCCUGAUCUGAGGAGUUUUGGAUUUCAGAUAUUUUUUUUCACACUUUUGUACUUUUGCACAGACAUAAUGAGGUAUUUUGGUGAUGGGACCCAAGCUUAAAUAUAAAACUCUUUUCUGUUACGUAUGUACCUUAGUCACAUAGCUUGAGCAUAAUUUCCAGCAAUAUUAUAAUUAAUUUUAUGCAUCAAAGCAAGUUGCAUGGUAUGGGAUUUUUUUCACUUGGGUCAUCACGUCAAAAGAUUUGGAUUUUGGAACAGUUUGAAUUUUGGAUUGUUGUAUUUGUAUUGUAUUCCACAGACAUUCUCUGGGUCCCUAACACAAUCAGAACAUCUAUGACUGUGGUGACUUUUUAUAUAUAAAAUAUUCUGUCAGAACUCAGCCCUGACCCAGUGUUUCUAUUAAGAUGACUAUAUAGUUCAUGACAGUACUGUUUUUUUUGGGGGGGUGAUUAUUUUUAUCUAUUUAUUUGCUGAAUUUGUUGUACUUUUAAUUUUAUUAGAAAUGUGAUGGACAAAAAUUGGUAAUUUCUAAUUUUAGCAGCUGAGCUAACCCCCUUUUUUAUGUUCCGGGGAAAAAAAAUAGGUCACCAUUUAAAUUUGUGAUACCGGACAAACGCACACUGGUUUUCUUGUUGGCAGGGUGAACUGCUGAGUCACAGUUUCACAGCAGAUAAAGCUGGCUAUUGUCCUUCCCCUUUACACCACAGAUCCAUAUUAAGGGCCAAACAAGCUUCUAGGAGGAAGAGAAUGAGAGCGUUGCCUCCCUAAGUUGGCAAAGUUGGCAGAGGAUAUCUGUUGUCCCAACAUUGCCCUCAAUGAGACCAACAGAUGAGACAGAGGCCCGCAAAAGAGUUGGAUUUAGGCUCAGUAUCAUUAAAAGCAGGAUGAACGGACCAAUGGCACUCUCUGGGGAAAACACCUGUGGCUGAGUGUAAAGUAGUACAAUUAUGUCUUAGAUUUGGGGCCUGGCUUGGUGUGGGGUAACCCUAAAUGAGACUCGGCCUCAGAGAAGAGGAGCAUCCUCCAUAGCCUUCGUGCAGUAGUGAAGUCAGGUACACUACAGGGCCUGGGGACCUCUCCAAGGCCCCUGUCUGGGGACUUGGGAACAACACAGUGGCAACAGCUGUAUAAAAAGGGUUUUGCUCUAGAGACUUUGCCAAAUAAUCCAGAUCCCUCUCUUGCUGAUUUGCCCUUCAAUAGGAAAGCAAUGGUUACACGCCCCAGGGGAUUAGCAUCCCAUGAAUUAGACACCAGGAAAAAGGAGACCUUAUUUUGCACUGCAAGUUGGUGGAGUGGAUCCUAUCUUGGUCAGAACUUUUAUGUGACAUUUGGAGUUUGAUGGUGGAGAAAACCUCCUGGUGAACCCAAAG
ensembl:lincRNA